ACGGAAGGCAGCAGUGGGGAAUCUUCGGCAAUGGGGGCAACCCUGACCGAGCAACGCCGCGUGAGUGAAGAAGGUUUUCGGAUCGUAAAGCUCUGUUGUAAGAGAAGAACGUGUGUGAGCGUGGAAAGUUAACACAGUGACGGUAACUUACCAGAAAGGGACGGCUAACUACGUGCCAGCAGCCGCGGUAAUACGUAGGUCCCGAGCGUUGUCCGGAUUUAUUGGGCGUAAAGCGAGCGCAGGCGGUUUAAUAAGUCUGAGGUUAAAGGCAGUGGCUUAACCAUUGUUCGCUUUGGAAACUGGUAGACUUGAGUGCAGAAGGGGAGAGUGGAAUUCCAUGUGUAGCGGUGAAAUGCGCAGAUAUAUGGAGGAACACCGGUGGCGAAGGCGGCUCUCUGGUCUGUAACUGACGCUGAGGCUCGAAAGCGUGGGGAGCAAACAGGAUUAGAUACCCUGGUA
rnacentral:rRNA from 1 species